GAUGAAGAACGUAGUAAAAUGCGAUAAGUAAUGUGAAUUGCAGAAUUCAGUGAAUCAUCGAAUCUUUGAACGCACAUUGCGCCCGCCAGUAUUCUGGCGGGCAUGCCUGUUGGAGCGUCAUUUCAACCCUCAAGCACAGCUUGGUGUUGGGACUCGCGUUAAUUCGCGUUCCCCAAAUUGAUUGGCGGUCACGUCGAGCUUCCAUAGCGUAGUAGUAAAACCCUCGUUACUGGUAAUCGUCGCGGCCACGCCGUUAAACCCCAACUUCUGAAUGUUGACCUCGGAUCAGGUAGGAAUACCCGCUGAACUUAAGCAUAUCAAUAAGCGGAGGA
rnacentral:misc_RNA from 1 species